GCUGGCGGCAGGCCUAAUACAUGCAAGUCGAGCGGGUGUAGCAAUGCACCAGCGGCAGACGGGAGAGUAACACGUGGGAACGUGCCCUUCAGUUCGGAACAACCCAGGGAAACUUGGGCUAAUACCGGAUACGUCCGUAAGGAGAAAGAUUUAUCGCUGAAGGAUCGGCCCGCGUCUGAUUAGCUUGUUGGUGAGGUAACGGCUCACCAAGGCGACGAUCAGUAGCUGGUCUGAGAGGAUGAUCAGCCUCACUGGGACUGAGACACGGCCCAGACUCCUACGGGAGGCAGCAGUAGGGAAUAUUGGACAAUGGGCGCAAGCCUGAUCCAGCCAUGCCGCGUGGGUGAUGAAGGCCCUAGGGUUGUAAAGCCCUUUCGGCGGGGAAGAUAAUGACGGUACCCGCAGAAGAAGCCCCGGCUAACUUCGUGCCAGCAGCCGCGGUAAUACGAAGGGGGCUAGCGUUGCUCGGAAUCACUGGGCGUAAAGCGCACGUAGGCGGCUUUUUAAGUCAGGGGUGAAAUCCUGGAGCUCAACUCCAGAACUGCCUUUGAUACUGAGAAGCUUGAGUCCGGGAGAGGUGAGUGGAACUGCGAGUG
rnacentral:rRNA from 1 species